CACAAGCGGUGGAGCAUGUGGUUUAAUCGAAGCAACGCGAAGAACCUUUACCAGGUCUUGACAUCCCGAUGCUAUUCUAGAGAUAGAAAGUUACUUCGGUACAUCGGUGACAGGUGGUGCAUGGUUGUCGUCAGCUCGUGUCGUGAGAUGUUGGGUUAAGUCCCGCAACGAGCGCAACCCCUAUUGUUAGUUGCCAUCAUUCAGUUGGGCACUCUAGCGAGACUGCCGGUAAUAAACCGGAGGAAGGUGGGAUGACGUCAAAUCAUCAUGCCCCUUAUGACCUGGGCUACACACGUGCUACAAUGGUUGGUACAACGAGUUGCGAGUCGGUGACGGCGAGCUAAUCUCUUAAAGCCAAUCUCAGUUCGGAUUGUAGGCUGCAACUCGCCUACAUGAAGUCGGAAUCGCUAGUAAUCGCGGAUCAGCACGCCGCGGUGAGUACGUUCCCGGGCCUU
rnacentral:rRNA from 1 species